rnacentral:rRNA from 1 species
AUUGAACGCUGGCGGCAGGCUUAACACAUGCAAGUCGAACGAGCGGCGGACGGGUGAGUAAUGUCUGGGAAACUGCCUGAUGGAGGGGGAUAACUACUGGAAACGGUAGCUAAUACCGCCUACCAUCAGCUGUGCCCAGAUGUGAUUGGCUAGUAGGUGGGGUAAAGGCUCACCUAGGCGACGAUCCCUAGCUGGUCUGCGAGGAUGACCAGCCAAACGGGAACGGAGACACGGUCCAGACUCCUACGGGAGGCAGCAGUGGGGAAUAUUGCACAAUGGGCGCAAGCCUGAUGCAGCCAUGCCGCGUGUGUGAAGAAGGCCUUCGGGUUGUAAAGAACUUUCAGCGAGGAGGCGUUACUCGCAGAAGAAGCACCGGCUAACUCCGUGCCAGCAGCCGCGGUAAUUC